rnacentral:tRNA from 1 species
CGACAGGAGCAGGACUUGAACCUACAAAACACAUCGUGUAGACAGUUUUCGAAACUGUUGUCUUUCCGAUUAGACUAUCCUGUC